AUUGAACGCUGGCGGCAGGCCUAACACAUGCAAGUCGAACGAGUGGCGGACGGGUGAGUCAUGUCUGGGAACCUGCCUGCUGGAGGGGGAUAACUACUGGAAACGGUAGCUAAUACCGCAUACCAUCGGAUGUGCCCAGAUGGGAUUAGCUAGUAGGUGGGGUAAAGGCUCACCGAUGCGACGAUCCCUAGCUGGUCUGAGAGGAUGACCAGCAACACCAGAACUGAGACAUGGUCCAGACUACGACGGGAGGCAGCAGUGGGGAAUAUUGCACAAUGGGCGCAAGCCUGAUGCAGCCAUGCCGCGUGUAUGAAGAAGGACUUCGGGUUGGAAAGUACUUUCAGCGGGGAGGCGUUACCCGCAGAAGAAGCACCGGCUAACUCCGUGCCAGCAGCCGCGGUAAUUC
rnacentral:rRNA from 1 species